rnacentral:tRNA from 2 species
AGGCGCGUAGCUCAGUUGGUAGAGCGUUGCCUCGACACGGCAAAGGUCUGGGGUUCGAGCCCCCACGCGCCUACCA